UACAUGUGGGGCGAGCGUUGUUCGGAAUCACUGGGCAUAAAGGGUGCGUAGGCGGCAUAGUAAGUCGGUGGUGAAAUCCCGCGGCCUAACCGCGGAACUGCCAUUGAUACUGCUGUGCUUGAGUGCGUGAGGGGUGGCUGGAACGAGUGGUGUAGCGGUGAAAUGCGUAGAUAUCACUCGGAACGCCAACGCUGAAGAGAGGCCACUGGCACGCAACUGACGCUGAGGCACGAAAGCGUGGGGAGCAAACAGG
rnacentral:rRNA from 1 species